CAAAAAUUCACACUACUUCCCCAUCAGAUAUCUAAUGGUCUACCCCUUACCACAUAUAUCCUAGGGGGCCAAUUUUGUAUAUUUUUGCGUUAUUUGCAUCUCCAAAACUCCUACUUUUGUCCUACUUUUCUACACAUUUUCCUACUUUAUUCCUACUUUUCCUAAAACUCUAGUCCUACUUUUGUCCUACUUUUCUACACAAGGAUGCCAGAAAGCCUGGUUAUUUUCUUACAAAGACGAAGAUCGACCGAGUUGAGCUCAUUUUAGAUCAUUUAACUUCCAAUUUUAGUCCCCUCUUGGGAAUUGUCUAUGUUUCGUUUUUCAUGCAAUUCCCAACCAACGGUG
rnacentral:lncRNA from 1 species